rnacentral:rRNA from 1 species
UACAGAGGGUGCAAGCGUUGUUCGGAAUUAUUGGGCGUAAAGGGCGCGUAGGCGGUUCGGCAAGUCUCUAGUGAAAUCUCUGGGCUCAACUCAGAGUCUGCUGGGGAAACUGCCGGGCUUGAGUGUGGGAGAGGAGAGUGGAAUUCCCGGUGUAGCGGUGAAAUGCGUAGAUAUCUGGAGGAAUACCGGUGGCGAAGGCGGCAUCCUGGACCGGCAUUGACGCUGAUGAGCGAAAGCUAGGGGAGCAAACGGG